AUAUACAGCCAUGCCACCCUGAACAUGACCAAUCUUGUCUGACCUCAGAAGCUAAGCAGAGUCAGGCCUAAUGCUGAAACCUAGGUCUUACCAGGCCAUACUGUAAAUC
rnacentral:rRNA from 1 species